UCAAAAGGGCCAAGAAUUCAUGAUAUAAAAGAAAAGGGAGGAAAAAGAGUUUAUUCUAAUGGCAACACGCAUAAUAAAUUGAUUACUAAACGUAUAAAUGACGUUCAUUCAUUUGUAACUUAUUUGUAAAUUAAUAAGAUCCAAAAAUACAAAAUAUAGUGAAAACGGAAGUAAAUUAAAAAAUAUAUGUAUAAAGUUGGCUUAACACUGAAUCGAGCUAUUGAUAAUAAAUAUAAAAUGCUAUCGGUUGUUCUAUAGUGAUUAUAGAAAUUAUUGAGUUCAUGUAAUAUUAUUGAUCCAUUAAAAUCCAAGUUUAUAUUUUUCCAAUGCAAUCAGCUGUGACAACAUGGCGGUCAUGCCGUAUAUUACUUGUCCGAUUUAAAUUAAGACACGCGAUCCAGAAACGGAGCUGCAGUUAUUUGCAUUCACUGCUCGUGUAAACGGCUGUAAGAAGACUGUAUUUUUUUCAUUAACAAGAACUCGUGUUUCCGAAUUCUCUCACUGAUUCAGUGUGGCGCCAAAGAUCGGUCGCUAAGGGAACGGAAGGAACUUGAGAGCCGUUUUUUUGAUAAUUACUUCAAGGUUGCUGUUUAUCUUUUUUUAUUAUAAAAUACAAUUUUUUAAUAAAAUUUAAUCUAAAGCAAUCUCCACAUAUUAAAAACAAAAGUCUAAUAUUUUAGAAUAAUUUAUUAUAAAAAAAUAAAAAAGAUAUA